UCCCUGGUGGUCCAGUGGUUAAGAUUCCAUGCUCCAAAUACAGGGGGCCCAGGUUCGAUCCCUGGCCUGGGAA
rnacentral:tRNA from 1 species